GCUCAGCGGCACUUUCUGCCUUUGCAUAAAAGCCAGCACAAUCCUGCCCGAGGUGGUCCACGCCCUGGUGGCUGCGCUAAGUGCUCCCCACACACCGUGUUCAGUCCUUACAGCUGACCUGAGCCCCAGAUGCCUCCUUGUGUGACACCAUCAAGUCCACCAUAAACCAAUGGAUGGAAUAACUCUCAGCAACUUGUCCCUUUCCUCCCCUGCUCCCCUUGGGGAUUUCUCAGCCAAGCAUCAAUGAAUCUUGAAUCUCAGCUGAUGACACUCCUGGGCAAAAUGGCUAUGAAACUGGAAAGAUGUCUAUGAAACACACAGUCCCUCAAGCCAGAAAAUGCACUUGACACAUCUGUGUCCCUUGAGGAACCUGAAGUUUUGGUGAAUCCAGAAAGCCAUGGAUGGCAGAACUGACCACAGAAAAAGAAACAGAGGCUCAGAAAGGUGAAGCCAAUUGCCUGAAGCCACACAGAAUAUCAGCUGGAGUCAGGAUUCUAACACCAUCCCAUGUAGCUGAUGCUAUCUACUGCCAGCCUGGAGCCAGGCUAAGAGGAAGAGAAAGAAGAAAAUGCCUGCAGAAACAUUCUAUGUAAAGAACACUUUGGGAUCAGAAAAAGAAGCGCGCCCGUGUUUCACUUGCAGCCUCACCCUGCACUAGGUAACCCUCCUUCCUCCACUGCACAAUCACUUAGAAACUGUAACUCUUCUUGGGCCCAGGUGCACAGGUAAAUUCGGAUCUUUCCCAAGGCCCUGCAUGCUACCGUGAUUUUUAGGAACCCUAUGUCACCUCACAGAUCUGAGCAUAUAUGAGUUGGGCUCGUCACCCGGCCUUCUGGGAGUCUCAGUUUCCCUAUUUGUAAAAUGGACAUAGUAAACCCAUCUCCAUCUCACAGAGGAUAGUAAAAAGAGCCCUGGCCUUGGAGUCUGGGGGCUGGGCCACAGGUCAGGCUUCAAGACCCCCUGGGCCACGUUGGGGACUUGGGUUCCUGAGAUCCAAUCUCUGAGCAUCAGCUUCACUGUCUGUCGCAGAAGCACCAUUUCCCCACCUUGUCCACCUCACAGAACAGCCAGGUGGCUUAGAGGUGAGCUCUCAAAUGUCAACAGGCUUUGCAAACUCCAGUGGUCAGCAUUAUGUGAGUAGUUCAGUCUUUCCACAGGGAUCUCUGGGGCCUCGGGUCACAGCAGACCAGAACUUGACCUGGAGGCUGGUGUCCCCCAAACUGCUGUAUGGACCCUGCAACAGCUGGGGAGUCCUCGUCUCAACAGCCCUGCUGUCUCCCACUGAGGUCAUCUGCUGGCCCUCCUGGUGGCCCUGUGAGGAAGCCAGGAGUCACUGAUGCUGCUCUAUCGACGGCGACAGAUGGAUCACAGCUGAUAAGUGACUUGCCCAGAGUUUUGCAGCUUGGAACUCACAGAGCAGAAGCUGGGAAUCAGGUGGGGAAGCACCCAGCUCUCUGCUUCUCCUAAGCCAAGCUCUGCAGCGAGGUCCUGCUUCCCUCGGGACUCCUCUUUCAGCAUGACAUGAACUCAUUUUGAAUGUAAAGGCAAUGUCAAAGCCCUACAGCUAUUUAUACCAGAGCAUGUGUUUAUUAGCUCACUCUCCAGGGGGAAUAUUGCUGUUGUGAAUACACAACUACUCAUAACUACCGUCUUAAAAAUCUUCUCUACCCCAAAAUAUUUACUAAUGUAUUUAAGUAUUUAUUUUCUUGUAGUGAAAGGAAAUCAAGAUAAUUCUAAAAUUGUGGAAGAAAACAAAAAAAGUAUAAAGGAGAAAACAGAAGCUUCACAUAUUCUAACCAUUAUUAAUCUCAAAAUAUUUUAUUCCAGGUCCUUGUCUAUGGUCCAGGUCCUUGUCUAUGGUCCUAUAGCCUAUGCUGAGUGACACUGUGCUAUGUGUAUGCCAUUUGCACUCACCGUGGGGUCAUAAGCGUGCCAUUUCCUUUUUAUUAAAAAAAUACUUUGCAUACAUGAAAGUAUGUUUGCAUUAAAACUAUGCAAACAUCAGUUUUAAUAACUGUAUAAAUAUUCCAUCACAAGGACAUUCCAUAAUUUAUUUAAUCACUUUGGUAGUGUUGGACAUUUAAUUUUUUAAAAAGUCAAAUAAUGCCAGGAUUAAUGCCUGUUUAUAUGAACCAGUUUUCAUUUCCUGAUUAUUUUCUUCGGCCAGAUCCCCAAAAGUGGAAUUACUGAUAAAAGUAGGUGAGUGUUUUUAACACAUUUCUUCUUAUACACACACACACACACACACACACACACACACACCCAUCAACAAAUAGUUUUUCCUGGAAGGAACUUCCAGUAGUGUAUGAGAAAGCCUAUUGCACCACACCAUCCCCAGCAAUGAGAAUUACUACUGUAAAAAAAUCUUUGUUACAUUAAAUUUUUGGAGGACAUCUCAUUUUCUUGAUUGCAUUUGAUUAACUCAAAAUGUAUUUCUACAGGGUGGGGAACAUCACACACUGGGGCCUGUCGUGGGGUGGGGGGAUGGGGGAGGGAUAGCAUUAGGAGAAAUACCUAAUGUAAAUGACGAGUUAAUGGGUGCAGCAAAC
rnacentral:lncRNA from 1 species